ensembl:lncRNA
CAGGAAGGCAAGUAUAACCCAUACAUUACCGGCCAGAGGCAGAGAGCAGUGCCUUGUGGAGCCAGGAAGGGCCUACUGAUGGUCACAAAAAUGUCUUUCCGCCUGGCGCCUGUGUGCUACUCUGACGGUGUUGUCUGAAUUAUGGACACAAGGCCCAAGUCUGCUUGAGUUUCCCUUGGAAAUUUUGGUAAUAAAAAGCAGAAAAGGUGUUUCUUGAAAAAAUACAAUAUGAAACACGAAAAGGCAAAUAAGCAAUUAACAUGAAGCGAACCAUUCUUGGCUUCCUUGUGUCUCCCUUUUCCUGCCUUCCUACCUCUAGUGCAACCUUCACGAUUCCUUUGCAAAGGAAUGAAAUCUCUAACAGGUUCUCAGGCAGAAGGGCUCAGGACAAACACCAGAGAACGUGGCAUGCCAAUUUAAGGAUUUAUUGCAUCUUAUAAUUCCACACUCAUUUGCACAUUCUGGCGAUGUCGUUCAUGGAGGUGAUGAUUACUGUGGGGGUUGGACUACGCACAGCCACUUUCCAAGAGCAAUGCAGAAUGGAGGUCUCUCAAGAUUGUACAGCUUAUUCCAAUGACUCCCUGGUGAUGACUCCAAGAUUCAUUAAAAAGAAUGGAAAUUUGGUAGUAGGGAGAGAUUUUACCUUGGAGGUGAUGCCUGCAAACAUUUCUAGCCAUUGCAGAGGCACCAGCACCCUGAGCAGCGCUGCCAAGCUCCUUCUGCCAGGACUAAACUCAGCAUCGCACCAACAAGCCACCGUCGCUUUGAACUGUCUGUGUCAGAUAAGGUAAACUAUUAUAUGGCAAUGAAAAGAAAGACAAACCCAUGCUCCGUAAAUGAUGUUCAACUGUUGGGAUUAAUUUCUCAGCCGAACAGCAUCUUCAGCGUCUCUAAUACCAAAUGAUGCAUUACAAAAAACGAAACAGCCUUUCAGCCAUGUUCAUUAAGAAUCUUGUAAUUAAGAAGUUGCAAGAGAACACAGUGUCCCUCUCUCUGAUUACAGCCCAUGUUUAAAUAUGACAUCUAACAGUUAUAUUCUCUUAAUUCCUCAAAAUGAAGAAUAAAGUAAAAUCAAGACAGGUUAUACCUUUGGUGUUCUUUUUAUAAAUCAAGUCUUAUAAGGAAGAAAUUCCUCUAAAGCGUUUCAGAUUUGGCUCAGAUCAAAUAAAAAGGCAAACAUUACUGGGAAAAUUGCCAUUUGUCAACUGUUCCAUGUCAUAUCAUGUGAUGAUAGAGUUCUCUAAACAGCAAAUGUCAGAUGCUGACACUCUACCGUAUAAACUAAAACAAGGAGAAAAUCGAGCUUAAAUUAUCCAAAAAUAUUGGCAGCAGUACGUUUCUAGUUGAAUGGUGUUUGUGAUGACUAAUAUUUUCUUCCUAAGGUUCUAGCAUGCCUUCAUUUAUUUUCUAUAGGACAUCCCUGCGGGGAGAGACACAGAGAACACAAGAGAGUCGUUAUUUUUAAAGUUAACAAAGAAAAAAUGAUUUUGAAUCCUUGCUUAAUUAAAAAUGGAACAGUACAAGAGGGUGACUCACUUCUCCCGUAAGAAGCUGAAAAUUAAAAAUUAUGCAG